UACGUAGGGGGCUAGCGUUGUCCGGAAUCAUUGGGCGUAAAGAGCGUGUAGGCGGUCCGGUAAGUCCGCUGUGAAAGUCGGGGGCUCAACCCUCGAAUGCCGGUGGAUACUGUCGGGCUCGAGUCCGGAAGAGGAGUGUGGAAUUCCUGGUGUAGCGGUGAAAUGCGCAGAUAUCAGGAAGAACACCAAUGGCGAAGGCAGCACUCUGGGACGUGACUGACGCUGAGACGCGAAAGCGUGGGGAGCAAACAGG
rnacentral:rRNA from 1 species